AUUGAACGCUGGCGGCAGGCCUAACACAUGCAAGUCGAGCGGAGCGGCGGACGGGCGAGUAAUGCCUAGGAAUCUGCCUGGUCGUGGGGGAUAGCGUCCGGCAACGGGCGCUAAUACCGCAUACUAUCAGAUGAGCCUAGCGCGGAGUAGCUAGUUGGUGGGGUAAAGGCUUACCAAGGCGACGAUCCGUAACUGGUUUGAGAGGAUGAUCAGUCACACUGGAACUGAGACACGGUCCAGACUCCUACGGGAGGCAGCAGUGGGGAAUAUUGGACAAUGGGCGAAAGCCUGAUGCAGCCAUGCCGCGUGUGUGAAGAAGGUCUUAGGAUUGUAAAGCACUUUCAGUUGGGAGGCGUUACCAACAGAAUAAGCACCGGCUAACUUCGUGCCAGCCGCCGCGGUAAUAC
rnacentral:rRNA from 1 species